AUUUCUAUGGCACAUAUAAUAUAUACUCAAAUUGGAACGAUACAGAGAUAUGCAUCACCCCUGUGCAAGGGUGACAUGCAAAUUCAUGAAGCAUUUCAUAAUUUG